rnacentral:rRNA from 1 species
UACAGAGGGGGCCAGCGUUAUUCGGAAUUAUUGGGCGUAAAGGGCGCGUAGGCGGCUCGCCAAGUCAGGGGUGAAAUCGUCCGGCUCAACCGGACAAGUGCUUCUGAUACUGGCGGGCUGGAGGGAGGUAGGGGCAGACGGAACUUCCGGUGGAGCGGUGAAAUGCGUAGAUAUCGGAAGAAACGCCGGUGGCGAAGGGGGUCUGCUGGAUCUCUUCUGACGCUGAUGCGCGAAAGCCAGGGGAGCAAACGGG